rnacentral:rRNA from 1 species
GAUUAGUGGCGAACGGGUGAGUAAUGCUUGAGUAACCUGCCCUUAACUCUGGGAUAAGCCUGGGAAACUYGGGUCUAAUACCGGAUAGGAGCGUCCACCGCAUGGUGGGUGUUGGAAAGAUUUAUCGGUUUUGGAUGGACUCGCGGCCUAUCAGCUUGUUGGUGAGGUAAUGGCUCACCAAGGCGACGACGGGUAGCCGGCCUGAGAGGGUGACCGGCCACAAUGGGACUGAGACACGGCCCAGACUCCUACGGGAGGCAGCAGUGGGGAAUAUUGCACAAUGGGCGMAAGCCUGAUGCAGCGACGCCGCGUGAGGGAUGACGGCCUUCGGGUUGUAAACCUCUUUCAGUAGGGAAGAAGCGAAAGUGACGGUACCUGCAGAAGAAGCACCGGCUAACUACGUGCCAGCAGCCGCGGUAAUACGUAGGGUGCGAGCGUUAUCCGGAAUUAUUGGGCGUAAAGAGCUCGUAGGCGGUUUGUCGCGUCUGUCGUGAAAGUCCGGGGCUUAACCCCGGAUCUGCGGUGGGUACGGGCAGACUAGAGUGCAGUAGGGGAGACUGGAAUUCCUGGUGUAGCGGUGGAAUGCGCAGAUAUCAGGAGGAACACCGAUGGCGAAGGCAGGUCUCUGGGCUGUAACUGACGCUGAGGAGCGAAAGCAUGGGGAGCGAACAGGAUUAGAUACCCUGGUAGUCCAUGCCGUAAACGUUGGGCACUAGGUGUGGGGACCAUUCCACGGUUUCCGCGCCGCAGCUAACGCAUUAAGUGCCCCGCCUGGGGAGUACGGCCGCAAGGCUAAAACUCAAAGGAAUUGACGGGGGCCCGCACAAGCGGCGGAGCAUGCGGAUUAAUUCGAUGCAACGCGAAGAACCUUACCAAGGCUUGACAUGUUCUCGAUCGCCGUAGAGAUACGGUUUCCCCUUUGGGGUGGGUUCACAGGUGGUGCAUGGUUGUCGUCAGCUCGUGUCGUGAGAUGUUGGGUUAAGUCCCGCAACGAGCGCAACCCUCGUUCCAUGUUGCCAGCACGUCGUGGUGGGGACUCAUGGGAGACUGCCGGGGUCAACUCGGAGGAAGGUGAGGACGACGUCAAAUCAUCAUGCCCCUUAUGUCUUGGGCUUCACGCAUGCUACAAUGGCCGGUACAAUGGGUUGCGAUACUGUGAGGUGGAGCUAAUCCCAAAAAGCCGGUCUCAGUUCGGAUUGAGGUCUGCAACUCGACCCCAUGAAGUCGGAGUCGCUAGUAAUCGCAGAUCAGCAACGCUGCGGUGAAUACGUUCCCGGGCCUUGUACMCMCCCCCCUCAAGUCMCGAAAGUUGGUAACACCCGAAG